CAAGCUCGGCCAUACAACGCCUC
rnacentral:siRNA from 1 species